rnacentral:lncRNA from 1 species
AUCUUGGCUCACUGCAACAUCUGCCUCCUGGGUUCCAGUGAUUCCCCUGCCUCAGCCUCCUGAGCACCAACAGACAGGGAAUUGCUCUGUCACGCAAGCUGGAGUGCAGUGGUGCCAUCUCGGCUCACUGUGACCUCUGCCUCCUGGGCUCAAGCCAUCCUCCCACCUCAGCCCUUCAAGUAGCUGGGAUUACAGGUUGUAAAAACCCCAUCAGGGCAGUGACUGAGUGUGUGUCACUGUGUGCAGCAUCCCCAGAACCUAAUACCAUGACUGCAUGGAACAAGCACCCGGAUAUAGGAAUGAAGGACGCUACUGGUGGCCCCGUCCAGUUCUGAGAAAAUGCUGCCACAAGCUACAAGAGAAAUCUGCUUCUCUGAAGCCUUUAAAGAUUUGGUUACUUUUUCAAAAUGAAUAUUCUUUAAUACACAAUUUCAAUAAUUUCUGAAAUGAGGAUAAUGGCUGGGUUUUUUUUUUUUUUUUUUUUUUUGAGAUGGAGUCUCGCUGUCACCCAGGCUGGAGUGCAGUGGUGCAAUCUCAGCUCACUGCAACCUCUGCCCCCCGGGUUCAAGCAAUUCUCGUGCCUCAGCCUCCUGAGUAGCUGGGAUUACAGGUGCCCGCCACCACGACUGGCUAAUUUUUUUAUUUUUAGUAGAGACGGAGUUUCACCAUCCAUGUUGGCCAGGGAGGUCUUGAACUCCUGACCUCAAGUGAUCCGCCUAUGGCUGGCUUUUUAUAAUAGUUAAGAAUACUGCUCCUGGAGUCAGAGGGUCUGGUUCUCAUCCUCUGAUUUUGAUCACAACUUGCUGCAUGAUGAUGAUCAAGUGUUUGAACUUCCCAGUGCAUCCAUUUCCUCCUGGGUAAAGUGGGGCUAAUACCGUUAAAGCAAUGAUGUAAAAAUUAAAUGAGCUAACACAAGUGAGCGUUCAGAAUUGCAUCUAGUGCAUGGGAAUCCCUCAUAAGUAUUAGCUAUUAUUAUCAGUGUGCUAUCAGCUUGGAACUCAUGUAGUUCUGCUACAGAUUUGUAUUGUUCCUGAAAACAGAAUAUGAGACCAAAUUGAGGCCAGGUGUAAAGGCAUCUGGACCUUAUAUCCCUGCUGUCUAGUUUCUUCAAGAGGCCAGAGAGAACCUCCCUCAACUCCAGCCUACCAAGUGUCAUUUAUUUUAAUGCAGUGUGCCCCCAGUCUUAGGAAAUGGAAUUCUUCAUCUUCCAAGGCCUCUGGCUGAGACUGGAGACUUGUGCCUGCUCCACUGCUUGGCUGGAUUAGAUGCCCUAGAAAGAUACUUUUAACUCAGAGAAACUGUGACUCCAUGAAAGGGUCAGAUCCCACCAAAAGUCAUCCCAGUUCUCCAUCAGUUUCUCUCUCCACUCCACCUCCCCCAGCCCAUCCUCCGUCUGGGCUCCAGGGCUCUUUCCUUCUGUGUUCCCACAGGAUGGUGCCUGCUUUUACCCACCCUCUAGACUUUGCCCCAGUCACCUCAAACAGCCGAGGGUCCAAAUUUAGUAAUAGAAAUUCACUUCUCUAACCACUUUACAAAAACAUUAACUCAUAACUCACGGAAACCCAAUGAAGUCGGUGCUGGUGGCACCUCCAUUUUACAGAUGAUGAAACCGAGGAGAGGAGGGAGGUUGAAUAACUUGGCCCAAGGUCACUUGCUGAAAAGUGGCAGAGCUAGGAUUCACUGCCUCUGGUUCACUGCCUUGAAAGGAAGGAAAGUCUCCCCACUCCCACCACUGGGGAACUCUUCUUUAACUUUCUCCACAGUAUCAUUGGUCCGAUAAAUGAGAGGCAAGGAGAGAAACAAAGAUGGAUGUAUGUAUAAACUUAGGCAAGCAUGGAGAGCCAUGGUGAUGUGGUUAAGUGUUAGUUCUUGAGCUGAAUUGCACUGGUUAGUGUCCUGGAUUUUGAAUGUACUAACC